AAUAGAUACCCGGGUAGUCCACGCCGUAAACGAUGAGUGCUAAGUGUUAGAGGGUUUCCGCCCUUUAGUGCUGCAGCUAACGCAUUAAGCACUCCGCCUGGGGAGUACGGUCGCAAGACUGAAACUCAAAGGAAUUGACGGGGGGCCCGCACAAGCGGUGGAGCAUGUGGUUUAAUUCGAAGCAACGCGAAGAACCUUACCAGGUCUUGACAUCCUCUGACAACUCUAAAGAUAGAGCGUUCCCCUUCGGGGGGACAGAGUGACAGGUGGUGCAUGGUUGUCGUCAGCUCGUGUCGUGAGAUGUUGGGUUAAGUCCCGCAACGAGCGCAACCCUUGAUCUUAGUUGCCAGCAUUUAGUUGGGCACUCUAAGGUGACUGCCGGUGACAAACCGGAGGAAGGUGGGGAUGACGUCAAAUCAUCAUGCCCCUUAUGACCUGGGCUACACACGUGCUACAAUGGAUGGUACAAAGGGCUGCAAGACCGCGAGGUCAAGCCAAUCCCAUAAAACCAUUCUCAGUUCGGA
rnacentral:rRNA from 1 species